ensembl:snRNA U2 U2 spliceosomal RNA
UUGGCUUCUCGCUCUUUUGGCUAAGAUCAAGUGUAGUACGUGUUCUUAUCAGUUUAAUACCUGGGUGAUGAAAUAAUCUGUACAACAACCCCCC